rnacentral:rRNA from 1 species
UCUGCAGUCGAGCGAAUCCUUCGGGGUUAGCGGCGGACGGGUGAGUAACACGUAGGCAACCUGCCUGUAAGCCUGGGAUAACUAUCGGAAACGAUAGCUAAUACCGGAUAAUUGUGAGGAACGCAUGUUCCUUACUGGAAAGGCGGAGCAAUCUGCCACUUAUGGAUGGGCCUGCGGCGCAUUAGCUAGUAGGUGAGGUAAUGGCUCACCUAGGCGACGAUGCGUAGCCGACCUGAGAGGGUGAUCGGCCACACUGGGACUGAGACACGGCCCAGACUCCUACGGGAGGCAGCAGUAGGGAAUCUUCCGCAAUGGGCGAAAGCCUGACGGAGCAACGCCGCGUGAGUGAUGAAGGUUUUCGGAUCGUAAAGCUCUGUUGCCAGAGAAGAACGCCAAGGAGAGUAACUGCUCUUUGGGUGACGGUAUCUGAGAAGAAAGCCCCGGCUAACUACGUGCCAGCAGCCGCGGUAAUACGUAGGGGGCAAGCGUUGUCCGGAAUUAUUGGGCGUAAAGCGCGCGCAGGCGGCUGUUUAAGUCUGGUGUUUAAGCCCGGGGCUCAACCCCGGUUCGCACUGGAAACUGGAUGGCUUGAGUGCAGGAGAGGGAAGUGGAAUUCCACGUGUAGCGGUGAAAUGCGUAGAGAUGUGGAGGAACACCAGUGGCGAAGGCGACUUCCUGGCCUGUAACUGACGCUGAGGCGCGAAAGCGUGGGGAGCAAACAGGAUUAGAUACCCUGGUAGUCCACGCCGUAAACGAUGAGUGCUAGUGUUAGGGGUUUCGAUACCCUUGGUGCCAAAUUAAACACAGUAAGCACUCCGCCCUGGGGAGUACGGGUCGCAAGACUGAAAACUCAAAAGAAUUGACGGGGACCCCGCA